ACAAUAACAAUAGAGAGAGAACUUUUGAUUGGUUCUGUAUGACGUCACAAUCUCUUAUUCGCAACGCCUUUUACCCGUUUUUGUAUAUAAUCGCCUGCAUGAUAUUCUGAAGCCAUUCAAUUCGAUUUAAUGAUUAUACCAAAAUACAUAUAUUCAAAAGGGUUUUAGCUUUCAAUGAAAAUCAAGGAAGGUGAGAAAUUGUUGCAUUAGGCGGAGAGGAUACGAAGGACAUUCAAAACGGAAAAUAGCAGCUACGAUAUAGGUAACUGCUACAGCCUACCACAAGUCGUAUCCGCAAGAAAUCAGAGGUCAUAAGGAGCAAUUUAAGGUUUUUAAUCAACACCAGGAAGAAACCUUAACCUGAGCUCCAGGCAUCAUAAAGAUUAAUCUACAGCAACGAUGGUCAUGAUUCAAGCAACUCGCAACUAACCCGACGACAUUAAACUUGAUGCCCACUUUUCUAUUUUUUAUUUUUUUUAUUUUUUAUCCCAAGUUCUUUAAACUGUGGUGUGUAUAAGUGUAAUGCACUCGUUCUAAAUCUUACAGAAGUGUGCACUCGAAAAAGCUCGAAGAAUGCGCGGUUUCGCCGAUGGGCUCUUUUCCCACUUACCUCGCCGCUACUGACGUCCUCACAACGCGCUUUCGCGACCUGUUCAUAACAUUUUCGCCGAGCGGACGACCUGCAAAGGCCGCCACUUGAAGCCGUUCAACACUUGACGGAACU